rnacentral:rRNA from 1 species
UAAUGCAAGUCGCAACGGGGCAGUCUUGGUAGCAAUAUCGAGGCUGUUCAGUGGCGAACGGGUGCGUAACACGUGGAUACAUUCCGGAAAGCGGGGGAUAGCCCAGGGAAACUUGGAUUAAUACCGCAUGUGGUCGAAAGACUAAAGACGGGGACCGCAAGGCCUGUCACUUUCCGAUUGGUCCGCGGCCUAUCAGCUAGUUGGCGGGGUAAAGGCCCACCAAGGCUACGACGGGUAGCUGGUCUUAGAGGACGACCAGCCACACUGGAACUGAGACACGGUCCAGACACCUACGGGUGGCAGCAGUCGAGAAUCUUUCACAAUGGGGGCAACCCUGAUGGAGCGGCGCCGCGUGGAGGAUAAGGUCUUCGGAUUGUAAACUCCUGUCAUGCGAGAACAAGGUUGCAGGGCUAACACCGCUGCAAAUUGAUGGUACCGCAAGAGGAAGAGACGGCUAACUCUGUGCCAGCAGCCGCGGUAAUACAGAGGUCUCAAGCGUUGUUCGGAAUCACUGGGCGUAAAGGGUGCGUAGGCUGCGCCGUAAGUCAGAUGUGAAAGCCCGGGGCUCAACCCCGGAAUUGCAUCCGAUACUGCGGUGCUCGAGUGCUGGAGAGGAGGCUAGAAUUCACGGUGUAGCAGUGAAAUGCGUAGAUAUCGUGAGGAAUACCAAAGGCGUAGGCAGGCCUCUGGACAGCAACUGACGCUGAGGCACGAAGGCCAGGGUAGCGAACGGGAUUAGAUACCCCGGUAGUCCUGGGCUGUAAACGGUGCACGUUUGGUGUGGGCGCAUUCGACCGCGUCCGUGCCGGAGCUAACGCGUUAAACGUUCCGCCUGGGAAGUACGGUCGCAAGAUUAAAACUCAAAGAAAUUGACGGGGGACCCGCACAAG